AAUCAACGCUGGCGGCAUGCCUAACACAUGCAAGUCGAACGCCCCGCAAGGGGAGCGGCAGACGGGUGAGUAACACGUGGGAACGUGCCUUUUGGUUCGGAACAACUGAGGGAAACUUCAGCUAAUACCGGGAUAAGCCCUUACGGGGAAAGAUUUAUCGCCAAAAGAUCGGCCCGCGUCUGAUUAGCUAGUUGGUGAGGUAAUGGCUCACCAAGGCUACGAUCAGUAGCUGUUCGAGAGGAUGAUCAGCCACAUUGGGACUGAGACACGGCCCAAACUCCUACGGGAGGCAGCAGUGGGGAAUAUUGGACAAUGGGGGAAACCCUGAUCCAGCCAUGCCGCGUGAGUGAUGAAGGCCUAGGGUUGUAAAGCUCUUUCAGCGGGAAGAUAAUGACGGUACCCGCAGAAGAAGCCCCGGCUAACUUCGUGCCAGCCGCCGCU
rnacentral:rRNA from 1 species